rnacentral:rRNA from 1 species
UACGUAGGUGGCGAGCGUUGUCCGGAAUUACUGGGCGUAAAGGAUGAGUAGGCGGCCUGUUAAGUCGGAUGUGAAACAUCGGGGCUCAACCCCGAUCUUGCAUUUGAUACUGGCAGGCUUGAGGGCAGGAGAGGAAUGCGGAAUUCCCGGUGUAGCGGUAAAAUGCGUAGAUAUCGGGAGGAACACCAGUGGCGAAGGCGGCAUUCUGACUGUACCUGACGCUGAGUCAUGAAAGCUAGGGGAGCGAACGGG